rnacentral:rRNA from 1 species
UACAGAGGUCUCAAGCGUUGUUCGGAUUCAUUGGGCGUAAAGGGUGCGUAGGCGGCGCGGUAAGUCGGGUGUGAAAUCUCGGGGCUUAACUCCGAAACUGCAUGCGAUACUGCCGUGCUUGAGGACUGGAGAGGAGACUGGAAUUUACGGUGUAGCGGUGAAAUGCGUAGAUAUCGUAAGGAAGACCAGUGGCGAAGGCGGGUCUCUGGACAGUUCCUGACGCUGAGGCACGAAGGUCAGGGGAGCAAACGGG